UGGGGAAUAUUGGACAAUGGGCGCAAGCCUGAUCCAGCAACGCCGCGUGAAGGAUGAAGUAUUUCGGUAUGUAAACUUCGAAAGAAUAGGAAGAAUAAAUGACGGUACUAUUUAUAAGGUCCGGCUAACUACGUGCCAGCAGCCGCGGUAAUACGUAGGGACCAAGCGUUGUUCGGAUUUACUGGGCGUAAAGGGCGCGUAGGCGGUGUGUCAAGUCAGUUGUGAAAUCUCCGAGCUUAACUCGGAACGGUCAACUGAUACUGUCACACUAGAGUACAGAAGGGGCAAUCGGAAUUCUUGGUGUAGCGGUGAAAUGCGUAGAUAUCAAGAGGAACACCUGAGGCGAAGGCGGGUUGCUGGGCUGAUACUGACGCUGAGGCGCGAAAGCUAGGGUAGCAAACGGGAUUAGAUACCCCUGUAGUCCCUGAGCGGGCUGGCAAGGCGCAU
rnacentral:rRNA from 1 species